rnacentral:rRNA from 1 species
GUGGCGCACGGCUGAGUAACACGUGGAACCCGCCCCCCGGUGGGGGAUAACGMGACGAAAGUGCUAAUCCCGCAUACGUCCGCUAGGGGAAAGCGCUUCGGCGCGCCGGGGGAGGGGCCUGCGGCCCAUCAGGUCGUUGGUGGGGUAACGGCCUACCAAGCCGAUGACGGGUAGCUGGUCUGGGAGGAUGACCAGCCAGACUGGGACUGAGACACGGCCAGACUCCUACGGGAGGCAGCAGCAGGGAAUUUUCGGCAAUGGGCGCAAGCCUGACCGAGCAACGCGCGUGCUGGAUGACGGCCUUCUGGUUGUAAACUGCUUUUUCGGGGGGACGAUGAUGACGGUACCCCCGGAACAAGCCCCGGCUAACUCUGUGCCAGCAGCCGCGGUAAGACAGAGGGGGCGAGCGUUGUCCGGAGUCACUGGGCGUAAAGCGCGCGCAGGCGGUCGCAAAGUGUCGUGUGAAAGCCCCCGGCUCAACCGGGGGAGGCCAUGGCAAACUCUGGCGACUGGAGCGGCGGAGAGGCCCCUCGAAUUGCCGGUGUAGCGGUGAAAUGCGUAGAGAUCGGCAGGAAGACCAAGGGGGAAGCCAGGGGGCUGGCCGCUGGCUGACGCUGGGGCGCGACAGCGUGGGGAGCGAACCGGAUUAGAUACCCGGGUAGUCCACGCCGUAAACAAUGACCACUCGGCGUGCGGCGACUAUUGACGUCGCGGUGCGCCUUAGCUCACGCGCUAAGUGGUCCGCCUGGGAACUACGAGCGCAAGCUUAAAACUCAAAGGAAUUGACGGGGGCCCGCACAAGCAGCGGAGCGUGUGGUUUAAUUCGAGGCAACCCGAAGAACCUUACCCAGGCUUGACAUGACGGUGCAGAGCGCGGCAACGCCGACGCCUGCGAGGGUCCGU